UCUGACCAGGCAGGAAGUGAAAUGGGGAUUGUUGUGGGUUUUGUCCGCUGACAGCAAGGCCCAGAUGGUGACUAAUUGGCCAUUAUUUAUUUUACUCGUAUGCAGCAUUUUCGGUUUUCUGUCUCCCUUUGAUUGAUUGGGUGGCUCCGGGCUGCAGGUGGGUCCAUUUUAUGCUUGGUUGGUGAGUCCCACAAAGGCCCAUUAAAUCAAUUAAGUUGGCCGGUGUGAGAAAAUCUGGGAGGGGGCAGGGAAUCUGCCUGGGUUUGCUUGUCAGAUAAAUCCUUCCGGAUCACGGGGCUGCCACGGGAGUGGCUUCCACCACACCAUCUCCUGUCCUGGGUGUUGUGGGGAGAUGAGUCUGGAUCCUACCUGGAUUCUGCCUCCAAGCUGGGGGAAGAAAGCUCCCAUGUUGUGAGGCAUAAAAAGGCCCACAUGUCAAAGAACUACAGCCUGCCAGCGACCACGUGACUGAGCUUGGAGGUGGAUCAUCCCUCAGGGAAGCCUUGAGAUGACAGCAGGCUGGGAGGGAUGCUCAGCCAGGACCAUGCAGCCAUGCUGCUCCGGCAUUCCUGAACCACAGAUGCUGUGAGAUGACAUUUUUUUCCCUCUACAUGUGUCAGCACUUCCCAGAUGUGAUGAUGGUAUUUGAAAGAGCAUGAUCUGGAAAUCCUGAGCCGUGCUGCCACAAGAAAAUGGAUGCACAGAGGACAAGGCCAGGCAGCGCAGGUCUUCAUUACACUGAGACUUUGCCUGAGUCCCAUGGUGCCCCAGUGCCCUGGCCUGGGCACAUCAGCACUGCCUUCUGUCCAGGCCCCAUGAGUCUCAGAUGGUGGACCCUGGUGACGGAAGGCUGGGUAGAUGCCAUGGACCUUUCCAUAGGUCAUAGCCACAGCUGAGCACUUGGUGUCUUACUACUCAGUGGAGAGGAGAAGUGUGCUGAAGGGUGGUAAGAGAGUGUGUCCAGGGGCCCAGACCAGAGUGGGCCAUGCCUCAUCUAGAGAGCAAGCAUCUUCCAGAAAGGAGAGCCCUUGGGUCCUUUUACAGAAGCAAUCAGAAAAACAUCGGGAAUCUCCCAGAAGACUGAAUGUAAGAGGACGAAGGGUCCGGGCACAGUGGCUCAUUCCUGUAAUCCCAGAACUUUGGGAGACUGAGGUGAGUGGAUCACUUGAGGUCAGGAGUUCGAGACCAGCCUGAACAACAUGGUGAAACCCCAUCUCUACUAAAAAUACAAUAUUAGCUGGGCAUAGUGGCGCAUGCCUGUAAUCCCAGCUACUCAGGAGGCUGAGGCAGGAGAAUCGCUUGAACCCAGGAGGAGGAGGUUGCAGUGAGCCGAGAUUGCAUCACCGCAUUCCAGCCUGGGCAACAAAGCAAGACUUCAUCACACACACACACACACACACACACACACACACACACACACAAACGAAACAACAACAACAACAAAACCAAAAAAAAAGAAAAAGAAAAGUCAGGUCUGGGGAGCUGAAGUGGCUGACAGAGGAGGAGGAGAAUUAUCUGCAGUGCUUCCCAAAUUCAGGACACUCACCCAGUGCAUCUCAAAGCCUGAGUCCUCAUAUCUCUUCUGGGGAAAGGAGAGAAAGAAUUGCUGGUGGAUUCUGCUGUGUUUUGCCUUGAGGUCAUUAUGGGCAAAAUUUCACACCUAUAAGGCCCAUUGCUGAGGAGGGAGUGGACCUCUGUGAUUCCUCUUGAGCAAAGGAAUAAACAUCCUAAGUUUGUGAGUAAAGCGUCCAUCACAUUCUCUGGAGCCAUCACUGCUGUUUGGAGAGGUGGGAGUUGAGAGAGGCCAUUACUGGGCAGAACCUGAGUUUUCACUUGAAGAUUCGUCCCUUAUGAAUCCAGCCCCUAGAAAACAGAGCAGCCAGCAGGCCUGUGACAUUUCAGUUUGGCUAUAAAAACUACAGGUUAAUAAUAAAACUCUUUUCUGGUUUUAAAAUUAUAUUCACGUGCAUCAGCUCACAUUUCUGAAAAAGCACUUAGGACAGCACCUGAGGCAACUUAAGCAUCAUAUAAAUGUUGGUUUUGUGGUCAUUCUUGUUUUAUAAUUAUUAUUAUUUGUAUCCUCACCCUGGUAGGCAGACAAGGCCAUAGUCAAUAUUAUAGUCGUUUUAUGGAUAAUAAAAAAUGGGAGAGGAAUUAAGUAACCUAUUUAAAUUCAUAUAAUAAACAAAUGGCAGAGCCAGGACUUGAAGCCAGGUUUUUAGGCUGCACAUCUCAGCUUUAACAAAUGACAGAACACCUGCUCUCACAUGUGGCUUUAUUUGUCACCUAACCACCCUCUUAGGCAGGUAGGCACUGGGGGCAGUGCUCAUGAGCUAGGCUUUUCAGCAAGAACCAGACAUGGAUAUGUAUUGGUUCUGUCACUUACCAGCCCUGUGACCUGGAGCUGGUUUUUUAACCUCUCUGGGCCCCACAAUUUUCACUGGUAGAUGGAGUAACAGUAGUGCUGACAUCCAGGGCUGUGGAUGAGGAUUGGGGAAGAUAUUUUGAUAUGAGUCUAGUGCUCAGCACACAAUGGCAGUGAUUAUAAUCACAAUAUGGUCAUUUUUCAGAUGAGAAAACUAGCUCAGAGAACAAAUGUGAUUUUCUAAAGAUUUGGGUUUCCUUGCUCCUAAUUCCUAGUUCCUGCCACCACUGAAAUCAGGACCGUAGAUGUUGCUCUCAGCAUGACCAUUAGUUUAGACAGCUGUAGGUAAUCAGAGCCAAGCAAUGCCCUCCCAAAUACAACAAUCACACACAGAAAAACAUGGAACCCUUCUGCAGAUGCCUUCCUUCACUAGCCCUAACCUCACUCUAGUGUCAUCUUUAUUUGGUUCAAGCCCUACCCAGUAUUUCUGUCUUCACCUGGAUUUAAAUGCUCCUGUGAUCACACAUAAGCUUUCAUGCAUCUAUGUCUCGUUUCUAUAAUCAUUACAGUGUAAGUGAACAUAUAAUAGCUGCUUCUUCAGACCACACUUCCUCUCGGCAGUGCCUACCACAAUCAUGGUAGGUAUUGACUCUAUGUCUAGUGGCCCCACCUUUCCUCUGUAGCCCAAGCCACAUAUCUUUGUUGCUUCCUUUUACUUCUUUGCUAGUCACAGUUUGUAGUUGCAGACAACAGAGUCCAUUUCCAUUUCUGAAAGAAAGAUUUUUCCUUCUUUUUUCUUCUUCUCUCUCUUUUCUUCUCACUCACAGAAUUAUUCGAAGGGUAGACAUCUGAGCUCUAGACUAAGCUCCCAGGUCCACAUGUAGAUUUGUCCCAUUCACGUCGAUGCAGUUGUCCCUGAGAUGAGAAACCACACAGCUUUUGCCGUCCCCUGUACCAGCAAAAUGGAUGCCCCCUGUCCAGCCUGUGUCCCUGCAUAGGUUACUUCUGGAUGGAAUUCUCAUACUGGUGCAUCUGGCUAGUUGAAUCAGGCACAUUUCUGCCCCCAAGCUGUGAGGGAGGCUGGGAAAUGUAGGUUUUGUUUCUGCUCUGGGAAGGCAAGGGUAACACUGAUGGAAACUAUCCACGAGUUAAUGGAGCAUUUAAAGUAUUUGGGGGACACAGAGCAAAGACAAGGUGUAUAAUCCAUCUUCAGCAUCCACAUGUAAUUGGUAAGCAAAUUUCAGCAGUUCUAAAUAUGAACACUUCUGGGAUUCAUCUACUUCUCUCUACCCCACUGCAGUCCUUUGGCUCAGUGCUUCUCACAUGGACAAUGGCAACAGCUUGUAAGUAGUCUCUCUGGCUCAGUCCCCUUUCUGCCCUAUCUCACGUAUGUUUUGUAGCCAGUGUUACUCCUUUGCUUAAAAUCCUCAAAGCUCCUGGUUGCUUUCAGAAGUGAGUUUAAACUUAUAAUUAUGGCUUUUAAAAUCCUUUGGAAUCUCAGGCCGGGGGUGGUGGCUCACGUCUGUAAUCCCAGCACUUUGGGAGGCUGAAGCGGGUGGAUCACC
rnacentral:lncRNA from 10 species